rnacentral:rRNA from 1 species
AUUGAACGCUGGCGGCAGGCUUAACACAUGCAAGUCGAACGAUGAAGACAUAGCUUGCUAUGUUGGAUUAGUGGCGGACGGGUGAGUAACACUUAGGAAUCUACCUUUUAGCGGGGGAUAGCUCGGGGAAACUCGAAUUAAUACCGCAUAAUUUCUACGGAAUAAAGAGGGCUUUUAGCUCUCACUAGAAGAUGAGCCUAAGUAAGAUUAGCUAGUUGGUGGGGUAAAAGCCUACCAAGGCGACGAUCUUUAGCUGGUCUGAGAGGAUGAUCAGCCACACUGGGACUGAGACACGGCCCAGACUCCUACGGGAGGCAGCAGUGGGGAAUAUUGGACAAUGGGGGCAACCCUGAUCCAGCCGUGCCGCGUGUGUGAAGAAGGCCUUUUGGUUGUAAAGCACUUUAAGCAGUGAAGAAGAUCUAUUGGCUAAUACCCAAUAGCGAUGACAUUAACCGCAGAAUAAGCACCGGCUAACUCUGUGCCAGCAGCCGCGGUAAUACAGAGGGUGCAAGCGUUGAUCGGAAUUACUGGGCGUAAAGCGAGCGUAGGUGGUUAAAUAAGUCAGAUGUGAAAGCCCUGGGCUCAACCUAGGAACGGCAUCUGAAACUAUUUAACUAGAGUAGGUGAGAGGGAAGUAGAAUUUCAGGUGUAGCGGUGAAAUGCGUAGAGAUCUGAAGGAAUACCGAUGGCGAAGGCAGCUUCCUGGCAUCAUACUGACACUGAGGCUCGAAAGCGUGGGUAGCAAACAGG